rnacentral:rRNA from 1 species
UACGUAGGGGGCGAGCGUUGUCCGGAUUUAUUGGGCGUAAAGAGCUCGUAGGCGGUUUGGUAAGUCGGGUGUGAAAUCUCCACGCUCAACGUGGAGGGGCCACUCGAUACUGCCAUGACUCGAGUCCGGUAGAGGAGUGUGGAAUUCCUGGUGUAGCGGUGAAAUGCGCAGAUAUCAGGAGGAACACCGAUGGCGAAGGCAGGUCUCUGGGCCACUACUGACGCUGAGAAGCGAAAGCGUGGGGAGCGAACAGG